UACGGGGGGGGCAAGCGUUGUUCGGAAUUACUGGGCGUAAAGGGCUCGUAGGUGGCCAACUAAGUCAGACGUGAAAUCCCUCGGCUUAACCGGGGAACUGCGUCUGAUACUGGAUGGCUUGAGUUUGGGAGAGGGACGCGGAAUUCCAGGUGUAGCGGUGAAAUGCGUAGAUAUCUGGAGGAACACCGAUGGCGAAGGCAGCUCGCUGGGACGGUACUGACGCUGAGGCGCGAAAGCGUGGGGAGCAAACAGG
rnacentral:rRNA from 1 species